GAUGAACGCUGGCGGCGUGCCUAAUACAUGCAAGUCGAACGCUGGAACUCUAGCUUGCUCGCUUGAAGGAGUGGCGAACGGGUGAGUAAUACAUAAGCAACCUACCCACGAAGACUGGGAUAAUCUCUGGAAACGGGGACUAAUACCGGAUAGGUAAUCGGAAGGCAUCUUCUGAUUAUUAAAGGUUAAAAACACUGGUGGAUGGGCUUAUGGCGCAUUAGUUAGUUGGUGAGGUAACGGCCCACCAAGACGAUGAUGCGUAGCCGGCCUGAGAGGGUGAACGGCCACAUUGGGACUGAGACACGGCCCAGACUCCUACGGGAGGCAGCAGUAGGGAAGUGUCGGCAAUGGGGGAAACCCUGACCGAGCAACGCCGCGUGAGUGAGGACGGCCUUCGGGGUGUAAAGCUCUGUUGUAAGGGAAGAACGGUAGAUAGAGAAUAUCUAAAUGACGGUACCUGACCAGAAAGCCACGGCUAACUACGUG
rnacentral:rRNA from 1 species